rnacentral:rRNA from 1 species
UAUAGAGUUCUUAAAACCCUAAAACCACCAGAUCCUGUCUGAUCUUUGAAGGCAAGCAAGGUCAGACCUGGUUUAUACUUGGAUGGAGGACUGUCAGUGACUAGCAGGUGCUAUAG